rnacentral:rRNA from 1 species
UGAAAAAGAACCUGAAACCGUGUACGUACAAGCAGUGGGAGCACCCUUUGGGGUGUGACUGCGUACCUUUUGUAUAAUGGGUCAGCGACUUAUAUUCUGUAGCAAGGUUAACCGUAUAGGGGAGCCGAAGGGAAACCGAGUCUUAACCGGGCGUUAAGUUGCAGGGUAUAGACCCGAAACCCGGUGAUCUAGCCAUGGGCAGGUUGAAGGUUGGGUAACACUAACUGGAGGACCGAACCGACUAAUGUUGAAAAAUUAGCGGAUGACCUGUGGCU